AGGGGGGAAAGGGGGGGCACAGCACUGAGUUUUGGGCUCUCCCCCUCCUACAGCCCCCCCACGGCACAACGGGAGCUCCAGGAACUGCGGGAGCGCAUGGAGAGGUGAUGGGAAUCCAUGGGACCCCAUUGACCCCAUAGAGACACCAUUGACCCCAUAAGGACCCCAUUUACCCCAUAGGGACCCCAUUGACCCCAUAGAGACCUCAGUGCCCCAUAGAGACCUCAGUGCCCCAUAGAGACCCCGUUGACUCCUUAGACACCCCAAUGCCCCAUAGAGACCCCAAUGCACCCCAUAGAGACCCCAUCAACCCCAUAGAGUCCCCAGUGUCCCCAAUGCCCCCAAUGACCCCAGUGAUGUCCCCAAUGUCCCCCAGAUGCCCCCAUUUUCCCCAAUACCCCCAUUGUCCCCGUUGAUCCCAAUGUCCCUAAAAACCCCAAUGACCCCAAUGUCCCCAAUGACCCCAGCAACCCCCAAUGUCCCCAAUGUCCCCGAUGACCCCAAUGUCCCCAUUGACCCCAAUGUCCCCGAUGACCCCAAUGUCCCCAAUGUCCCCAUUGACCCUAACGUCCCCGAUGACCCCAAUGUCCCCAAUGACCCCAAUAUCCCCAAUGUCCCCAAUGUCCCCGAUGACCCCAACGUCCCCGAUGACCCCAAUACCCCCAAUGUCCCCAAUGUCCCUGAUGACCCCAAUGAUGUCCCCAACGCCCCCCAGGCUCCAGGAGGAUUUUGCCGCCUCGCAGCGCCUGAACCGGGUCCUGGAGGAGCGCCUGCAGGGUCUGACGCAGGCGGUGGCCCUACAGCGGGUAGCGCUGUCCCAAAGGCUGGCUGAGGCCCUACAGCAGUUCCUGGUGGCCCCCCCAGGGCAGGAAGUGGCCGUGGGGGUACAGGUGAGCGGGGGGGGGACAUGUGGGGACAUUGGGGGCAUUGGGGGUAUUGGGGACAUCGGGGUCAGUGGGGACAUUGGGGUCAAUGGGGGCAUUGGGGACAUGGGGGGACAUGGGGGGUAUUGGGAGCGUUGGGGACACAGGGCAUUGGGGACAUUGGAGUCAAUGGGGACAUUGGGGACAUUGGGGUCAAUGGGGACAUGGGGGACAUUGGGGGACAUUGGGGACAUUGGGGUCAAUGGGGUCAUGGGGGGACAAUGGGGAGAUUGGGGUCAAUGGGGACAUUGGGGUCAUUGGGGGACAAUGGGGACAUUGGGGUCAGUGGGGACAUUGGGGACAAUGGGGACAUUGGGGGUAUAGGGGGCAUUGGGGGAAACGGGGACAUUGGGGGCUUUGGGGUAUUGGAGAUUCUACGAGGACACUGGGGGGCACUGAGAACAUUGGGGUCACUAUGGGGACAUUAGGCUCCCUAUGGGGACACUGGGGACACUGAAGAGCAUUGGGAGACGUGGGGGAGAUUGGGGUCUCUAUGGGGACAUUGGGGUCAAUAGGGACAAUGGGGUCAUUGGGGACAUUGGGGUCACGUUGGGGUCUGUAUGGGGACAAAGGGGUCAAUGGGGACAAUGGGGUCACAUUGGGGACCUCUAUGGGGGCAAAGGGGUCAAUGGGGACAUUGGGGUCACGUUGGAGUCUCUAUGGGGACAAACGGGUCAAUGGGGACAAUGGGGUCAUAUUGGGGUCACAUUGGGGACAAUGGGGUGAAUGGAGACUUUGGGGUCACAUUGAGGUCUUUACGAGGACAAAGGGGUCAAUGGGGACAAUGGGGUCACACUGGGGUCUCUAUGGGAACAAUGGGUUCUCUAUGGGGUCAGUAGGGUCUCUGUGGGGACAAUGGGAUCUCUAUGGGAACAAUGGGUCCCUAUGGGGUCAAUGGGGGUCCUACAGUGCCGGUGUCCCUACAGACGUCCCCAUGGGGUCGGACCCCCCGUGACGGCGAUGGAGACAACGAGGAGGGGCCGCUGCCACCCCCCCCGGCCUUCCGGGACCCCCCCACCCCACAAUAAAGUUCUGCCAGCCCCACA
rnacentral:lncRNA from 1 species